CAAAAACAUGUCCUUUUGGUUUUUAUUUAAGGUCUGACCUGCCCAAUGAGGAAUUGAAUGGCCGCAGUAUUUUAACUGUGCUAAGGUAGCAUAAUCAUUUGUCUUUUAAUUGAGGGCUGGAAUGAAAGGUUGGACGAGAUAUUAACUUUCUUUGUUUUAAUUUGGGAAUUUAAUUUUUGAGUUAAAAAGCUUAAAUAUAUUUGUUGGACGAGAAGACCCUAUAGAUCUUUAUAAUUUCAUAUUUCGGUAAUUUAGGGAUUUAUUUACUUGGAGUGGUAGAAUUAUUUGGUUGGGGUGACUGUAGAAUUGAAACAACUUCUAUUUAUUUAUUUCAUUUAUUAGUGUUUUUUUGAUCCAUAUGUUAUGAUUAUAAGAUUAAGUUACCUUAGGGAUAACAGCGUAAUUUCCUCGGAGAGUUCAUAUUGAUGGGGGAGUUUGCGACCUCGAUGUUGGAUUAAAAUAAGUUGUGGAUGCAGAAGUCUACUUACUAGGUCUGUUCGACCUUUAAAUUUUUACAUGAUCUGAGUUCAGACCGGCGUGAGCCAG
rnacentral:rRNA from 1 species